GAUUUCAUAAAUAAAUACCUCUACCUCCAAACCCCACUCCACCAACCAGUGAUGAAUUCAACCCGGGUCGUGUAACAACAUCAGGAAAACUUUAAUCCUACCUUCUUCCCCAAACCCCAUUCCACCAACCAGUGAUGAAUUCAACCACGGGUCGUGCAAUAACAGUAACAAUAACAACAAUAACAAAUUUAGUAUAAUUUGAUAUUCAAGUCUGCAAAAGAUAGUAUUUAUACAGUUUUAUUCCUAUUUUAUUAGUAUAAAAAGACUAUUUUUGAUAGAUUUUGAGCACUAUUAAAAAAAAACAGUAAGUGGAAAUACCAUGAAAACCAUGGGUCAUGUGCUAUAACCCCAAUCCCAUUCACUAAAAAAUUUCAAAGUUUAUAAAGAUCAAAACACUCAAAAACUUUGUCUCAGAUUCUCUAGACCAUUAUCUACAAAUUUGCUAACACCAUUAUUUCUUAUCACUAUCUCUAAAAAUGAAAGGAAUCGAUAUAUUCUGUGCAUCCCAAGCUGCAACUUCCAUAUGUCUAAGCAUGCAUGAAGCCUCAUCUUCUUCUUCUUCUUCCGUAAUCCAGUUAGGUGGCGGCAGCAUUUCUGUCAGCCGCCUAAUCGACCGUUACAAUCCCAUCAUCAGAGAUUCCAGAAUAACAUGUGGCAGUGGCUUGUCACGGCCACUGCCACCUCAUUCUUCUGAUCAACCACCCAUUUCUUCAAAACCAAAGAAUAUUGACAAGAAAUGUAAUACAUCUUCAAAACCAUCAAAAGAAACCAAGAAAAGGCAAAGUGAUCAUAAAGGUCAUAUUGUUAAGAGAAAAAGUAGUUGGAGUUGUACAAAACCUAGUGAAUUUAUCACCCCACCUAGUUCUUCUAGGUAUCUUUUGAGUGAGAAAGAUUUGGUUGAUGAUUUAUCUGAUUAUAAUCAGGAUCCAGUUUUGAAUUCCAAGUCUUGUCAUCAAUCUGUGAAAGUAGUGGCAAAUGAGUCUUCUCCUCCAAAGCCACCAUCUUCUUCUUCAUGCUCUGGGGACCAGGUUUAAUUAUUCUCCCUAUUCUUCUUCUUCUUUCAUAAACAGAUUUUGUAAUCUUUACACUAUCAAAUUAAAUGAAAGAUAGGUACAUGUAUUCAUCCAUAAUUAAAUAUUAUUGGAGUCUCCAAUGUGACCAACCCGUAAUUGUUCAAGAUUAGGGUGAUUUGGUAGAGGAAUAAAUUAUCCCAGGAGUAUAAUAAAGGGAUUAUAAUAUGAGAAUUAAAAAGUAACGUAAUUAUUUAAUGAAUUUGACAGAUAUUUGUCUCAUUAGACUAAAAAUAAGAUAUAUAAGAAAUAAUAUAAAAUAUGUGUUUGAUGUAUACUAGAUAAACUGAGAUAAAUUUUUAUUUUUAAUUUUAACCUUAAAUUUUUUUAAAGAACAUUGAGAAAGAACCUUGAAAAACUGUACUAUAGUAUUUUAUCUCGAAUUAAGUAUUACGGAAAUACUAUCCAACCCUUAAUGCGGGAUAUAAUAAUACCACAAUUGUAGUAUUGUUAUGAAAUAAAGUAAAGACAAGAACAAUAAUGCAAGAACAAUAGCAAUAGAGAGAAG
rnacentral:lncRNA from 1 species